AGCCAAUCACCUUACAGGACCCUGAAGCCAAGUACCCGCUGCCCUUGAUUGAGAAAGAGAAAAUCAGCCACAACACCCGGAGGUUCCGCUUUGGACUGCCUUCGCCGGACCAUGUCUUAGGGCUUCCUGUAGGUAACUAUGUCCAGCUCUUGGCGAAAAUUGGCAAUGAAUUGGUGGUCAGGGCUUACACCCCUGUCUCCAGUGAUGAUGACAGAGGCUUUGUGGACCUAAUUAUAAAGAUCUACUUCAAAAAUGUACACCCCCAAUAUCCUGAAGGUGGGAAGAUGACUCAGUAUUUGGAGAACAUGAAAAUCGGGGAGACCAUCUUUUUUCGAGGGCCAAAGGGACGCUUGUUUUACCAUGGGCCAGGUACUGGAGGGGUUAAUACUGGGCUCCCAGCUGGGAGGAAGAUUCCUGCAAUGGUUCCAUUGUUCUCGUACACUCCUCAGAUUUGAGUCACAUGGGGUUGUCCUUAGUCUUCAUUCAUUCACACACAAUGCAUAAUGAUCACACUUGUUACACAUUCACACACCCACUUGAUGAGGUUGUAAGCU
rnacentral:sRNA from 1 species